UAUUAAAUUGGAUUAAGUUAGAUUAAAAUAAAAGCUUUAAAGGCUUUUAAUAAUAUAUCAUUAUUAUUUUUGAUUU
rnacentral:tRNA from 1 species